rnacentral:lncRNA from 1 species
UUUUGUUUUGCCAAAAAUGAUUGUCCAUGAUCAUGACAAUCAUCAUCCAUUCUAGGGACACGUUGAGGGUUGCACCUAUGGGGCUGGUUAUCCCUAUCUUCCUUAAUUGGAUCUCGAUAUUGAUGUUUUUGAUUCACUCGUACCUCAUUCAAAGUAGUAUUCAAUGCUUGAAGUGUAGCAUUUAUUUGUGUGAUUGCAGUAGUAUGUCUGUCUAACUGUUGUUGGACUUUCAUAAGUGCAUCAUUAUUAUCACCUUUAGACAUCUUCAAAACCUGUAAAAAAUAAACACUCAACACUUAAGAAUAAAAG